GGUCAAUUCAUCCAAUAGAAUAACCGAUUUCUGUUUCGUUCAUCCAAUAGCAGUUUACUUUUUUAACCAUCGCUAAUAAUUUGAAAUGUUUGUUUUCUUUUAAAAAUUGCUAAAUUAAUACUUUAUAUUUCAUGGUUAUGUUAUCAAAUAUGAAAUUAAAUCUAUAAUCGCUUAAAAAUUUUAAUUUUUGUACAACGAAUGACGUCAUCGUCCUUUUAGUAUUUAACAGUAAUGGUGGAUAAUACGAUUGUUUAUAAGCGAGGAGAAACACCGUCCAUUCAAGUUAGAAAUUCUGUUUUAAAUGCAUGCAAGUAUUUUGGAAGGCGGAAAUCCGUGAGAAGUAACAUUUUCAACGAAACUUCACUCGAUAUUGGUAUUUCUGUAUCGACAAUUAAAAGAAUUGUAGCCGAAGAAGGAAGCAAAACAGCAGACGAUGACCUGUAAACGGAAAAAAACUCCAGUUAAAUUGUCGACACCUGGAAAGAAAAGGCAUUUUAUUAUUUAUAAAGUAAAGAUUAAUAUAUUUUAAUCUAAUUAAUAU
rnacentral:lncRNA from 1 species